rnacentral:rRNA from 1 species
UUGAAACUCUGUUUCCCGUACGAUCACCGAAGUUAAGCAACGUCGAGCCUGGUCAGUCCCUAGAUGGGUAACCACUUGGGAAUGCAGAUG